AAUCAACCGAGAUUCCCCCAGUAGCGGCGAGCGAACGGGGAGGAGCCCAGAGCCUGAAUCAGUGUGUGUGUUAGUGGAAGCGUCUGGAAAGGCGCGCGAUACAGGGUGACAGCCCCGUACACAAAAAUGCACAUGCUGUGAGCUCGAUGAGUAGGGCGGGACACGUGGUAUCCUGUCUGAAUAUGGGGGGACCAUCCUCCAAGGCUAAAUACUCCUGACUGACCGAUAGUGAACCAGUACCGUGAGGGAAAGGCGAAAAGAACCCCGGCGAGGGGAGUGAAAAAGAACCUGAAACCGUGUACGUACAAGCAGUGGGAGCACGCUUCGGCGUGUGACUGCGUACCUUUUGUAUAAUGGGUCAGCGACUUAUAUUCUGUAGCAAGGUUAACCGAAUAGGGGAGCCGAAGGGAAACCGAGUCUUAACUGGGCGUUAAGUUGCAGGGUAUAGACCCGAAACCCGGUGAUCUAGCCAUGGGCAGGUUGAAGGUUGGGUAACACUAACUGGAGGACCGAACCGACUAAUGUUGAAAAAUUAGCGGAUGACUUGUGGCUGGGGGUGAAAGGCCAAUCAAACCGGGAGAUAGCUGGUUCUCCCCGAAAGCUAUUUAGGUAGCGCCUCGUGAAUUCAUCUCCGGGGGUAGAGCACUGUUUCGGCAAGGGGGUCAUCCCGACUUACCAACCCGAUGCAAACU
rnacentral:rRNA from 1 species